GGUAACGGCCCACCGGGGCGACGAUCAGUAGGGGUUCUGAGAGGAAGGUCCCCCACAUUGGUACUGAGACACGGACCAAACUCCUACGGGAGGCAGCAGUGAGGAAUAUUGGUCAAUGGACGCAAGUCUGAACCAGCCAAGUAGCGUGCAGGAUGACGGCCCUAUGGGUUGUAAACUGCUUUUGCGCGUGAUUAAAACUGUCCACGUGUGGGCAUUUGCAGUUAGCGCGCGAAUAAGGACCGGCUAAUUCCGUGCCAGCAGCCGCGGUAAUACGGAAGGUCCUGGUGUUAUCCGGAUUUAUUGGGUUUAAAGGGAGCGUAGGCGGCUUCUUAAGCGUGUUGUGAAACGCCGGUGCUCAACGCCGGCCCUGCAGCGCGAACUGGGGAGCUUGAGUACACGCAAGGCAGGCGGAAAUUUGUGGUGCAGCGGUGAAAUGCUUAGAUAUCACGAAGAACCCCGAUUGCGAAAGGCAAGCUUGCCGGAGUGUGACUGACGCUGAAGCUCGAAGGUGCGGGUAUCGAACAGGAUUAGAUACCCUGGUAGUCCGCACAGUAAACGAUGGAUGCUCGCCGUCUUGCGAUACACAGCAGGUGGCCCAGCGAAAGCGUUAAGCAUCCCACCUGGGGAGUACGCCGGCAACGGUGAAACUCAAAGGAAUUGACGGGGGCCCGCACAAGCGGAGGAACAUGUGGUUUAAUUCGAUGAUACGCGAGGAACCUUACCCGGGCUUGAAUUGCAGAGGAAAGAUCCAGAGAUGGUGAUGCCCUUUGGGGUCUCUGUGAAGGUGCUGCAUGGUUGUCGUCAGCUCGUGCCGUGAGGUGUCGGCUUAAGUGCCAUAACGAGCGCAACCCUUGCUUUCAGUUGCCAUCGGGUGAUGCCGGGCACUCUGGAGGGACUGCCACCGUAAGGUGUGAGGAAGGUGGGGAUGACGUCAAAUCAGCACGGCCCUUACGUCCGGGGCUACACACGUGUUACAAUGGGAGGUACAGAAGGCGGCCACCGCGCAAGCGGGCGCGAAUCCCCAAAGCCUCCCUCAGUUCGGACUGGGGUCUGCAACCCGACCCCACGAAGCUGGAUUCGCUAGUAAUCGCGCAUCAGCCAUGGCGCGGUGAAUACGUUCCCGGGCCUUGCACUCACCGCCGGUCAAG
rnacentral:rRNA from 1 species